AGUGAACGCUGGCGGUAGGCCUAACACAUGCAAGUCGAACGGCAGCACAGGAGAGCUUGCUCUCUGGGUGGCGAGUGGCGGACGGGUGAAGAAUACAUCGGAAUCUACUUUUUCGUGGGGAUAACGUAGGGAAACUUACGCUAAUACCGCAUACGACCUACGGGUGAAAGCAGGGGAUCUUCGGACCUUGCGCGAUUGAAUGAGCCGAUGUCGGAUUAGCUAGUUGGCGGGGUAAAGGCCCACCAAGGCGACGAUCCGUAGCUGGUCUGAGAGGAUGAUCAGCCACACUGGAACUGAGACACGGUCCAGACUCCUACGGGAGGCAGCAGUGGGGAAUAUUGGACAAUGGGCGCAAGCCUGAUCCAGCCAUACCGCGUGGGUGAAGAAGGCCUUCGGGUUGUAAAGCCCUUUUGUUGGGAAAGAAAUCCAGCUGGUUAAUACCCGGUUGGGAUGACGGUACCCAAAGAAUAAGCACCGGCUAACUUCGUGCCAGCAGCCGCCGUAAAAC
rnacentral:rRNA from 1 species